rnacentral:rRNA from 1 species
UACCAUGGUGGUAACGGGUAACGGGGUGUUAGGGCACGACACCGGAGAGGGAGCCUGAGAAACGGCUACCACAUCCAAGGAUGGCAGCAGGCGCGCAAAUUACCCAAUCCCGACACGGGGAGGUAGUGACAAUAAAUAACAAUACGGGGUUCUUUAGGAUCUCGUAAUUGGAAUGAGUACGAUUUAAAUCUCUUAACGAGGAACAAUUGGAGGGCAAGUCUGGUGCCAGCAGCCGCGGUAAUUCCAGCUCCAAUAGCGUAUAUUAAAGUUGUUGCAGUUAAAAAGCUCGUAGUUGAAUUUCGGGGUCAGUAGGUCGGUCGUGCCACUGGUAUGAACUGGUUUUACUGAUUCCUCCCACUUGAAGAACUGUAAUGCCAUUAAUUUGGUGUUGCAGGGAAUCAGGACUGUUACUUUGAAAAAAUUAGAGUGUUUAAAGCAGGCUUUAGCUUGAAUACAUUAGCAUGGAAUAAUGAAAUAGGACGUUUGAUCCUAUUUUGUUGGUUUCUAGGAUUGACGUAAUGAUUAAUAGGGAUAGUUGGGGGCAUUAGUAUUCAAUUGUCAGAGGUGAAAUUCUUGGAUUUAUUGAAGACUAACUACUGCGAAAGCAUUUGCCAAGGAUGUUUUCAUUAAUCAAGAACGAAAGUUAGGGGAUCGAAGACGAUCAGAUACCGUCGUAGUCUUAACCAUAAACUAUGGCGACUAGGGAUCGGAUGAUGUUAAUUUUUUAAUGACUCAUUCGGCGCCUUACGGGAAACCAAAGUGUUU